AAAAUAAACAAAAUGACAAUAAUACAUAAAUAACAACAGACUACUAGCAAUUAACUGACAUGCCAGCUCCAGACUUCAAUUAAACUGACUGAAAGAUUAUGAUUUCAUCAUAUGAACAUCAGGCACAAUCCUUCCCGUUAGGGGUUUAGUAUCAUACCAUCAUAACAUAUAUGAGAAGAACAUAACCCGUGUCAUGCCAAC
rnacentral:lncRNA from 1 species